UACGUAGGGCGCAAGCGUUGUCCGGAAUUAUUGGGCGUAAAGAGCUCGUAGGCGGCUUGUCACGUCGGGUGUGAAAGCCCGGGGCUUAACCCCGGGUCUGCAUUCGAUACGGGCUAGCUAGAGUGUGGUAGGGGAGAUCGGAAUUCCUGGUGUAGCGGUGAAAUGCGCAGAUAUCAGGAGGAACACCGGUGGCGAAGGCGGAUCUCUGGGCCAUUACUGACGCUGAGGAGCGAAAGCGUGGGGAGCGAACAGGAUUAGAUACCCUGGUAGUCCACGCCGUAAACGGUGGGAACUAGGUGUUGGCGACAUUCCACGUCGUCGGUGCCGCAGCUAACGCAUUAAGUUCCCCGCCUGGGGAGUACGGCCGCAAGGCUAAA
rnacentral:rRNA from 1 species